ensembl:lncRNA
UCUGUAUGUUGUUUCAGGAUUGGCAUCAAGUGAAGAAGUGUCAGUGAAAGAUAUUGAGCUUACCAAGCUGUGCCAGCAGCUUCCUCUGUUCCUCCAGGAUCUCACUCUGGGACAUCGCCUGCAACUUUGCCUGGUUCUCCUCGUGGAUUUUCCUUGUCUCCAUGGCACUAUUUGCAAUCCUAAGUCCUUGACCCUCGCUCUCCUGGGUCCUCAUCUUCAAAACGCACCCGCUCGUGUUUGAAUCGUGACUUCUUUGGAGGUGCAGGGGUCAAGGUGGGAAGGUCAUCUGGAAGAUCUGAAGGUGUAGAUGUAAUAAUUUCAGUACAAGUCACAACAUCCCUCUGGUGUCCCUGCUCCUGUGCAUCAGCUGCAGCAGCGUCUCCUGUGCGUUUAUCAGGGCGCUUCACUACAGCGACAGAGGACUGACCGCCCGCCGCCAGAAGCUGCUGCUGCUGCUCCCGGAGCACAUCCGCCUCGCUGUCUGUGGGCUUGGGACGCCGCAACAUCCUAACUCCCGAAUUAACACAAGGCCGUCUAAUGGUUCGGAGGAGACUGUCGGGAAUAAUGAUUCAGGAUUUAGCUCUCAAAUUUGUCUUUUCAUCUUGUACUUCACUGACUGACAGUCUGAAAGUUUUCUUGUUGACUUGCAGAAGAUAUUAGGAUAAUAAGCACAUUUCCAGCAAGUUUCUAAUAUUAUCAGUAAUCAGUUCGUGAUCAGCACAACAAUGAUGGAAAUAUCCAGGAACGUCGUUUAUGCCACGGUCAUCUAUCAGCUAUUUGACUGAAUAUGUACACACAUGUACGCACAGCCACAACCAACACAUGUAGAGUUUACAGACGUGACUCCAUUUCCGGGUUAUGUGUAGCCAUUACAAAAUAAAAGCCUUUCGGUUUAAGAGCUUUUUUUUCAUAAAAGAUCGUUAUUAAAUUAUAUAAAUAUAUAAUAUAACACAAAAUAAUGCACUUAGUUUUAUUACAUAUUUUCAUUUUUAU